rnacentral:misc_RNA from 1 species
AAACAAAGAGCCAUAAGCCGUGUUCGGAGAAUGCAGAUGGAGAUGUCGCCUCUAUACAUGUACCUGAAGUUAUUCUAUGAAUUCGGAGCUGGGAAUAUAGAGAACGUUAGUAGAACCGAAGAAGACGACGAAUAAGGUUUGGGAGACUCAUCAAGUUUCCAUUGAAAUAGGAUCUACAAAGAAUACAAAGAGG